GAUGAACGCUGGCGGCGUGCCUAAUACAUGCAAGUCGAGCGAACAGACGAGGAGCUUGCUCCUCUGACGUUAGCGGCGGACGGGUGAGUAACACGUGGAUAACCUACCUAUAAGACUGGGAUAACUUCGGGAAACCGGAGCUAAUACCGGAUAAUAUAUUGAACCGCAUGGUUCAAUAGUGAAAGACGGUUUUGCUGUCACUUAUAGAUGGAUCCGCGCCGCAGUAGCUAGUUGGUAAGGUAACGGCUUACCAAGGCAACGAUGCGUAGCCGACCUGAGAGGGUGAUCGGCCACACUGGAACUGAGACACGGUCCAGACUCCUACGGGAGGCAGCAGUAGGGAAUCUGCCGCAAUGGGCGAAAGCCUGACGGAGCAACGCCGCGUGAGUGAUGAAGGUCUUCGGAUCGUAAAACUCUGUUAUUAGGGAAGAACAAAUGUGUAAGUAACUAUGCACGUCUUGACGGUACCUAAUCAGAAAGCCACGGCUAACUACGUG
rnacentral:rRNA from 1 species